rnacentral:rRNA from 1 species
CCUGACUGCCAUCGGAAUGAUACUAAGCCAUGUGAGUCAUUGUAGCAAUACAAGGCAGACGGCUCAGUAACACGUAGCCAAUCUAACCUAUGGACGGGGAUAACCUCGGGAAACUGAGGAUAAACCCCGAUAGAUCAUUAUGCCUGGAAAGGCUUAUGGUCCAAAUGAUUCGUCGCCGUAGGAUGAGACUGCGGCCUAUCAGCUUGUUGGUGAGGUAAUGGCCCACCAAGGCUAUUACAGGUACGGGCUCUGAGAGGAGAAGCCCGGAGAUGGGUACUGAGACACGGACCCAGGCCCUAUGGGGCGCAGCAGGCGAGAAACCUUUGCAAUGUGCGCAAGCACGACAAGGUUAAUCCGAGUGUUUCCUGCUAAAGGAAUCUUUUGUUAGUCCUAAAAACACUAGUGAAUAAGGGGUGGGCAAGUUCUGGUGUCAGCCGCCGCGGUAAAACCAGCACCUCAAGUGGUCAGGAGGAUUAUUGGGCCUAAAGCAUCCGUAGCUUGCUCUGUAAGUUUCCGGUUAAAUCCAUUAGCUCAACUAAUGGGCUGCCGGAAAAACUGCAAAGCUAGGAAGUGGGAGAGGUAGACGGUACUCGGUAGGAAGGGGUAAAAUCCUUUGAUCUAUUGAUGACCACCUGUGGCGAAGGCGGUCUACCAGAACACGUUCGACAGUGAGGGAUGAAAGCUGGGGGAGCAAACCGGAUUAGAUACCCGGGUAGUCCCAGCUGUAAACGAUGCAGACUCGGUGAUGCCCUGGCUUGUGGCCAGUGCAGUGCCGCAGGGAAGCCGUUAAGUUUGCCGCCUGGGAAGUACGUACGCAAGUAUGAAACUUAAAGGAAUUGGCGGGGGAGCACCACAAGGGGUGAAGCCUGCGGUUC